rnacentral:rRNA from 1 species
CAGCAGCCGCGGGAAUACGGAGGGUGCAAGCGUUAAUCGGAAUUACUGGGCGUAAAGCGCACGCAGGCGGUCUGUCAAGUCAGAUGUGAAAUCCCCGGGCUUAACCUGGGAACUGCAUUUGAAACUGGCAGGCUAGAGUCUUGUAGAGGGGGGUAGAAUUCCAGGUGUAGCGGUGAAAUGCGUAGAGAUCUUGAGGAAUACCGGUGGCGAAGGCGGCCCCCUGGGCAAAGACUGACGCUCAGGUGCGAAAGCAUGGGGAGCAAACAGGAUUAGAUACCCCUGUGUCCCUGUCUCUUAUACA